GCAGGCCAGCCCUUGAAAGCUCUUUUGUCUAACAGCAGAUACACAGAUUAGGAAAGAAAAGACAACUCAGCGGUAUAUUUGGCAAACCUGUUUCUAAUGGCUGGCUUCUUGUUUCCAUGAGUCUAGUCACAAAGCUGCUUUCUUAUUCCCACUGCGUGUGUGUAAGGGGAAGCUGUUUCUGAGUUUCCACAUGACGGUUUCCUCUGUGAUCCCUGGGGAGUGUUCUGUUGUGACGAUGGUGUCCCAUGGCAAGCUCUCAGAAUGUGUCCAGAAGCUCAGCAGCAUUACUCUUUAAAGGAACACAAGCCAUUCCUGUGUUUCCAAAGCAGGUGACUGGACCCAGAAAUACCAGCCCUUCUCUGUUACACCUUUGUUACAUAGUAUCAGUAAAAUAAAUCAUUGGUAAAAAUAGGGCUAAUGAGGCCAUACCAUUCUGGAAGGGAAACUAGCAGAAACUUGGAGGAACUGGCUGACAUGCUUCCAAAUUUUCCUGGAAGCUCGUGAUACUGAGAAGUAAGAAGGGUUGAAAUUCAACACUCUGCUACAUGUGGCCAACCCAGAGGGAGUGAACUUCUGUGACACUGUCCAGUGGGGACAUGAAGGGGAUUGCGAACUGCUACAAAAAGUAAUUUAAAAUGUUAAUAAUACUUUGAUGCAUCCAAAAUGUUGCUAGGGAAAGGCACGCUUACUUUAAAAGAAACCAAUUGCCAGGUGAGACCAAUGACCAUUUGUGACAUUAUAUGACUAAAAUAUGACCAUGUAAAUCAUUGUUUCUACCAUUGUUAGACAGUUGCAACAAAACGUGUACAAAGUAUGUCAUGUAAGACGUCAAUGGAAAAGUUAUGAUUUGCUUAAUGUGAUUAUCCUAUUUGUAUGCAUGCAUCAUUUUUGUAUCUGAAGUUAUGAAUACUGACUAUGUACCUGCGUUUCAAAUGUGUUUGCUCCUGUGGUAACAUCCACAAGGCAGUUUACAUCAAAUCUAGCUAGCACAUUGUGUAUGGAGUAUUCGAGUGAUGGCCCAUCAGCGAAUACAAUGGGCCAUGGAAGAAGCCUAUCCACACCUGAUGAACCUUCCUGAGGACCUUCUAGCUAGAAUACAGGUCUGUCGCAUCUUAUGCGCAUUUAAUAAGCGCGAUUUCAGCUUUACACG